AACGACUACAUAUCAGGCAUAUCAAUAAGCGGAGGAAAAGAAACUAACUAGGAUUCCCUCAGUAACGGCGAGUGAAGCGGGAAGAGCUCAAAUUUGAAAUCUUCAAGGGUUCUACCUUGACGAAUUGUAGUUUAAAGAAGUGUUUUCUGUUGGAGUUUCGGUAAAAGUUCUUUGGAAUAGGACAUCAUAGAGGGUGAGAAUCCCGUAUUUGACCAGUUAUUUUCAGCUGUGUGAUACACUUUCAAAGAGUAGGAUUGUUUGGGGAAUGCAGUCCAAAAUGGGUGGUAAAUUUCAUCUAAAGCUAAAUAUUGGCGAGAGGACCGAUAGCGAACAAGUACCGUGAGGGAAAGAUGAAAAGAACUUUGAAAAGAGAGUUAAACAGUACGUGAAAUUGUCAAAAGGGAAGCGUUUGGACACCAGUGUUGUUUUCUCGAAAAUCAAUUAAAAAUAGUUGGGAUUUUGUGUUGUAUUGACCUUAACAGCUUGCUUCACUCUUUUCCUAGCUUUUUUUAAUGCACUUUUCGUUUAACAAGUCAACAUCAGUUUCUUUUGUUGUAAAAGGGUCAUUGGAAGGUGGCUUUCUUUUCGGAGAAAGUGUUUAUAGCCUUUGAUCUCUGCAAUCGGAGAGACUGAGGUCUGCAGCGUAGAUCCUUCGGGGUUAGAUACAUUUGUGCUAAGUUAUAACUUUUCAUAGACAACUUGUUGACUAUGUUUAGUCAUGUAGCUUACUCGCUUAUGCUAUUUUACCUACGCUUAGGAUGUUGAGCGCAUGUCUCUCUCU
rnacentral:rRNA from 1 species